rnacentral:rRNA from 1 species
GGGCCUACGGGAGGCAGCAGUGGGGAAUAUUGGACAAUGGGCGAAAGCCUGAUCCAGCCAUGCCGCGUGUGUGAAGAAGGUCUUCGGAUUGUAAAGCACUUUAAGUUGGGAGGAAGGGCAGUAAGUUAAUACCUUGCUGUUUUGACGUUACCAACAGAAUAAGCACCGGCUAACUUCGUGCCAGCAGCCGCGGUAAU